GAUGAACGCUGGCGGCGUGCCUAAUACAUGCAAGUCGAGCGAACGGACGAGAAGCUUGCUUCUCUGAUGUUAGCGGCGGACGGGUGAGUAACACGUGGAUAACCUACCUAUAAGACUGGGAUAACUUCGGGAAACCGGAGCUAAUACCGGAUGAUAUUUUGAACCGCAUGGUUCAAAAGUGAAAGACGGUCUUGCUGUCACUUAUAGAUGGAUCCGCGCUGCAUUAGCUAGUUGGUAAGGUAACGGCUUACCAAGGCAACGAUGCAUAGCCGACCUGAGAGGGUGAUCGGCCACACUGGAACUGAGACACGGUCCAGACUCCUACGGGAGGCAGCAGUAGGGAAUCUUCCGCAAUGGGCGAAAGCCUGACGGAGCAACGCCGCGUGAGUGAUGAAGGUCUUCGGAUCGUAAAACUCUGUUAUUAGGGAAGAACAUAUGUGUAAGUAGCUGUGCACAUCUUGACGGUACCCAAUCAGAAAGCCACGGCUAACUACGUG
rnacentral:rRNA from 1 species